rnacentral:rRNA from 1 species
AUUGAACGCUGGCGGCAGGCCUAACACCUGCAAGUCGAACGAGUGGCGGACGGGUGAGCAAUGUCUGGGAAACUGCCUGAUGGAGGGGGAUAACUACUGGAAACGGUCGCUAAUACCGCAUACCAUCGGAUGUUCCCAGACGGGAUUCGCAAGGAGGUGGGGUAAAGGCUCACGUAGGCGACGAUGCCUAGCUGCGCUGAGAGGAUGACCAGCAACAAGGGAACGGAGACACGGGCCAGACGCCGACGGGAGGCAGGAGUGGGGAAGAUUGCACAAUGGGCGCAAGCCGGAUGCAGCCAGGCCGCGUGUAUGAAGAAGGCCUUCGGGUUGUAUGGUACUUUCAGCGGGGAGGCGUUACCCGCAGAAGAAGCACCGGCUAACUCCGUGCCAGCAGCCGCGGUAAUAC